rnacentral:tRNA from 1 species
GCUGUAGCUCAGUGGCAGAGCACUUACCUAGCACGUGUGAGGUCCUGAGUUUGAUCCUUGGCACUGCA